GACGAACGCUGGCGGCGUGCCUAAUACAUGCAAGUAGAACGCACAGUUUAUACCGUAGCUUGCUACACCAUAAACUGUGAGUUGCGAACGGGUGAGUAACGCGUAGGUAACCUGCCUGGUAGCGGGGGAUAACUAUUGGAAACGAUAGCUAAUACCGCAUAAUAUUGAUUAUUGCAUGAUAAUUGAUUGAAAGAUGCUAUUGCAUCACUACCAGAUGGACCUGCGUUGUAUUAGCUAGUAGGUGAGGUAACGGCUCACCUAGGCGACGAUACAUAGCCGACCUGAGAGGGUGAUCGGCCACACUGGGACUGAGACACGGCCCAGACUCCUACGGGAGGCAGCAGUAGGGAAUCUUCGGCAAUGGACGAAAGUCUGACCGAGCAACGCCGCGUGAGUGAAGAAGGUUUUCGGAUCGUAAAGCUCUGUUGUAAGAGAAGAACGGGUGUGAGAGUGGAAAGUUCACACUGUGACGGUAUCUUACCAGAAAGGGACGGCUAACCACGUG
rnacentral:rRNA from 1 species